GAUGAACGCUGGCGGCGUGCCUAAUACAUGCAAGUCGAGCGAACGGACGAGAAGCUUGCUUCUCUGAUGUUAGCGGCGGACGGGUGAGUAACACGUGGAUAACCUACCUAUAAGACUGGGAUAACUUCGGGAAACCGGAGCUAAUACCGGAUAAUAUUUUGAACCGCAUGGUUCAAAAGUGAAAGACGGUCUUGCUGUCACUUAUAGAUGGAUCCGCGCUGCAUUAGCUAGUUGGUAAGGUAACGGCUUACCAAGGCAACGAUGCAUAGCCGACCUGAGAGGGUGAUCGGCCACACUGGAACUGAGACACGGUCCAGACUCCUACGGGAGGCAGCAGUAGGGAAUCUUCCGCAAUGGGCGAAAGCCUGACGGAGCAACGCCGCGUGAGUGAUGAAGGUCUUCGGAUCGUAAAACUCUGUUAUUAGGGAAGAACAUAUGUGUAAGUAACUGUGCACAUCUUGACGGUACCUAAUCAGAAAGCCACGGCUAACUACGUGCCAGCAGCCGCGGUAAUACGUAGGUGGCAAGCGUUAUCCGGAAUUAUUGGGCGUAAAGCGCGCGUAGGCGGUUUUUUAAGUCUGAUGUGAAAGCCCACGGCUCGACCGUGGAGGGUCAUUGGAAACUGGAAAACUUGAGUGCAGAAGAGGAAAGUGGAAUUCCAUGUGUAGCGGUGAAAUGCGCAGAGAUAUGGAGGAACACCAGUGGCGAAGGCGACUUUCUGGUCUGUAACUGACGCUGAUGUGCGAAAGCGUGGGGAUCGAACAGGAUUAGAUACCCUGGUAGUCCACGCCGUAAACGAUGAGUGCUAAGUGUUAGGGGGUUUCCGCCCCUUAGUGCUGCAGCUAACGCAUUAAGCACUCCGCCUGGGGAGUACGACCGCAAGGUUGAAACUCAAAGGAAUUGACGGGGACCCGCACAAGCGGUGGAGCAUGUGGUUUAAUUCGAAGCAACGCGAAGAACCUUACCAAAUCUUGACAUCCUUUGACAACUCUAGAGAUAGAGCCUUCCCCUUCGGGGGACAAAGUGACAGGUGGUGCAUGGUUGUCGUCAGCUCGUGUCGUGAGAUGUUGGGUUAAGUCCCGCAACGAGCGCAACCCUUAAGCUUAGUUGCCAUCAUUAAGUUGGGCACUCUAGGUUGACUGCCGGUGACAAACCGGAGGAAGGUGGGGAUGACGUCAAAUCAUCAUGCCCCUUAUGAUUUGGGCUACACACGUGCUACAAUGGACAAUACAAAGGGCAGCGAAACCGCGAGGUCAAGCAAAUCCCAUAAAGUUGUUCUCAGUUCGGAUUGUAGUCUGCAACUCGACUACAUGAAGCUGGAAUCGCUAGUAAUCGUAGAUCAGCAUGCUGCGGUGAAUACGUUCCCGGGUCU
rnacentral:rRNA from 1 species